rnacentral:tRNA from 1 species
GCCUGAGUGGCUCAGCAGUUGAGCGCCUGUCUUUGGCUCAGGGUGUCAUCCUGGAUUCCCGGGUUCGAGUCCCACAUCAGGCU